AAUAUACCACAGAACUAGUAAGUAUUUUUUUUCAAUCAUUACUAUGGUAAUAAAAAGUACUCCACAUCGAUUCAUUUAACACAAGAUGUCAAUAUUCGAAUUAAGAAGCCAAGUAUGAGUUGAGCUUGCCAAAGUUAUAUAUAUCAUUACCAUAAUCGAAAAACUUGAGCUUCAAUUUGUGGUCAAACUUUUCCUUAGUCCUUGACGAUGUAAGAUCCUUUUACAUAGUUUUUUUGUUUUGUUCCCAAGUAUCAUUCGGACAUACAAACUUGUCCUUUACAUUGGUUGUGAAAUCAAAUUCCAGUUAUCAUUCUUGAAGCUGUGAUCUGUGAUCUGAUGUGUGAAAGUUUUUUUUUCCAUUUAAUUUUCUCAAUUAGUUUUCACAAGAAAAUAAGGCUGUCAUAUGUGUAUGGAAGAGAAAUAUUAUGUAGCUUUUAAAUGGAAGUAAAUAUAUGCAGAAUUGAUGGUUCAUUUAUGAAAUAACAACAAGUAUUUUGUAAUCAAAUAUGAAGUUUAGACUGUGACAACACACUCGAUUGACAUCAAGAGGAAGUGCAAAUCUAUCAUAAGCAUAAUAUUGAAUCUUGACCCAAUCUACUCAUAAGCAUAUCUUUAUUACUAAAAGUUAUAUUGUCAGAAGCACAAGUAAGUCAUUAGAGCUAGGAAAUGGGGGAUGAACUUUUAUCCACUUAAUGUUAUUGUGCCUUUCUUUACAAGGAAUAUGAUAAAACUAAAAAAUAUAUACAAUUAUAUCUUUCUUCUUCCUUUGAUCAAUCUUAUACCAUUAAAUUGUGAUGAGGAACUGUUAAAUCACAGCCCUGAAAGACUACUUUUUGCUACCAAAAUUUUUAAGAUCUAAUCACAGCUUUUCAACUCUUGAUUUAAUAAAAGUUUAUUAAAAUUACCUUUUACUACCAAAACAUGGGACGGUUCAAAUUAAUCCGAUAACAUUUUCUUCCACUCAUGUCCACUAAGCAUUAUAGACAUAGAUUGGACAAUUGAAUUUUAUACUUUGAAUAAGUAUCUCAUGACCUAAUCGGUGGGCAAAAUCGAGGUCGUAAAGGUUAACUAAAAUUUAUAACAAUUAAGGUAUUUUUUAGAUUUUACAAAGGAUGUGAGAUCAUGAUAAACCAAAUAAUAAUACAUUAGAAAAAAAAAUAUUUCAUCUCAUCAAGGUGAAGACUAUUUCUAAAAAUUAUAUUGUCUUUCUCCUCUCUUUAAAAAGAAAAUAAUACAUUAGAAAGACUAUUUUUAAAGAAAGGAAGAUUUGUUUUUCUCCUCUCUUUUUCCUAUUGUCUUUACAUUAGUAGUAUCAUUUGGUUUCCAUAAGUGUUAACUUGCCUGCAUACAGAAUCGAUCUAUCUUUGAUGAGAAAACCAAUAGCUCACAUGAUGAGGAAGUAAUUCCUGACGAUGAAUUAAUACAAAUAGAAGCAAAAUUUUGAAAGGCCAAAACACAGUAAUCAUUUAUAAUCUUCACAUCUUCUUUAUCGAAUAAAAAAAAUUACAAAGAUCAAAUAUAUUGUGAUUAAAUAUAUUCAUGAGCAAGUCUUGGAUUCAUUUAUCCCCAGUGGUGCACAGUCAAUAUAACUCUUUCAGCACAUCUUUGUCAUAUUUUCCAACAAGCAACUAUUUAGAACAGAAACAUUCUUAUCACUCUCUUCCAAGUUCAUUUUUAUGGACAUCAAUCAUUUCAGUUUGUUAGACAUGAUAAUGAUGUAUCUAAUGAUUGGGUUUACCAAACAAGAAUCUUCUAAAUUAUUCAGCACUCACUAUUUCCUCAGUGGAUGUUCAGCAUCAAGCAAUAGGACCCCUCCUCUAUUUAUGACUGUCAGUAGAAUCAUUGUUAGGUUUCUGACCACAGCCAUUGCAACUUUGUAAUAGAUCAUGUUUUUUGUGUCGGGCUUGAAGUUUUUGGCUAUUGAUAAAAUUUGGUUUUUUUACCAUAGUAAAACUUUAGGGUCAAAUACAGUAGAAGAGUGUUUGCUAUGUUAUCCUUUCUUACAUUUUGGUAAACUUGGCAAUAUGGAAUACAAACCUUAGAAAUAGCUGUCCCUGUAAUUUUUCUUAUUUUUGGACAAAUUUGUUAAAUUUCAUUAUUACAUGAUAAUCCCUCUUAUUUUUCUAUGCAUGCCAUGGUCUUCUAUUUUUAAGUCAACAUCUUCUGAAUAAACCAACUAAAUAUAAAUAAAACAAAAUCAUUUUUGCACCUAAUUGUGCAUAAUCAUAUAUCUAAAAAAGUGUGCUACUUCAAUCAAAUAACAAGAAAAUUGGAAAUGAAGCAAAUGAUUUGGAUUUUAUUCUCGACUCUAAUCUCCAUUCCCAUUUUUCAUGUAAGCUCAUUGUGACUGACAGAUAAUGCAGAAGAGAAAUAAAAUUCAUUAGAAAUUUAGGAUAUUCCUUAUAAUAUUUCAUGUCGAAUACUAAUGAAGAUUAAUAAAUAUUCUUAGUGGCGAAGAUGAAAUUCGAGCCUAGGACUUUGUGAUAAAUCGUCAAGAUCUUUAUUAGUUAAACUAAUUAGCACCUUUAACACCUUUAGUUAAACUUGUUAUUAGGUAAAUAACAAGUGUUUAGUGACUAAUAGCAAAGGUCAUAUAGACUUGUCUACAGAAAAGCCCAAGGUUUUACUAUGUGCACAACAUUUUUUAUCUUUUAAAAAAUAACAUAUGAAUGCUGAAAAUUUUAAAAUAGUAUAUAUAUUACUCUAAAUAUUAGUAUUCUUCCACAUUUGCCACUUCAGCUACCAUUAGUCAACAUACCAAGUAUAACCACUACUAUCUAUGUUACUGAAUUUUAAAUAAAUAUUUGAAAUGUAAAAUAGAAAUUUUAUUUAAAAUUUUAUUAUUUUAAUAGAGCUAUUAAUAUAAUCAAUAUAUUAAUAAAUGAUUUUUUUUUUCUUGAAAAGAAUCCAAAUUCUAAGAAACCAAUUAAAUUAGUAUCAGUAAUCCAACAUGUUGACUAAAAAUAGAUUCAUAUUGGAAUCCAUUCAAGAAUUAGAGCUAUGAUCCAACUAGAUUUAAAUCAAUUACAUUUAUUUGUUUCUCCACAAAUUAUGAUUUGAAUUUCUCAAAUAAUAAAUAUUGUUUAAAAGCCGUUUAAAUUGCUUUUGAAUUAUAGUAAUAGGUUGAGUUCCUAGCUCGGUAUCUCGGAUCAAAAUUGAUUUGUAUUCAAUGCAAUUAUCGUUGAAUAAUUGGACCAGGAUUCUAAUUAGAUUUCGAUCAAUAUUCUACUUAAAUCAGAUUCUGUCACGGAUUGGGUUACAAUCAACCACUCGAGAUGUUGAUCAUCUUAGAGGCAAUGUUGUUAUAUGAAUAAAUUGCACAAGUAGUUAAUUGAACAUUUUUUGGUCUUUCUUCUUUUAACUUUAAGACUUAAAUAUACUUAAACAACAGAAUAUGUAUGAUCAUUCAUUCAUCGAAGGUAACGAAGCAUUUGGCUUUCCCUAUAUGAUUUGAAUCUAAGUAGUUCAUAUUUCUUAAUAGAAUUUAAUUUGGUAUUUUUAUUUAGAAAAUGACGUUUUGAGUUUCUUUGAACUUUCAGUGAUAGAUAUGAUGCUUAGGAGUGCUUUUGCGUUGGUUGAUUAUGAUAUGCUGGCACGGGAACCAAUAAAAAAGCUCAGAAUCGAGAAAAACCUUCAAAACCUCGACACUCGAUCCAAGUGGAAAUCAAGUCCUCAGCUUCUCAAAGACUCGGAAGGAAGCGAGACAGAGCACUCAAAGCUUCUUCGAUAGAUUAACAUUCUUGAACAGGAGAGAUUGUUGGGUGUGGACGAGUAGUGUCACAUGAGGAAAUAAAGGAUAAUAUCAGGAACCGGUAGACUGUGAGUUUCAUGAUUCAUGUGAAAUAUAAGAUGUAAUGGUUGCGUAUAAUGAUUAGAUACAUUUAGAAACUUCUAUGCAUCAGAAUGGUUUUAUGAUUGCACUCAGAAGAUACUUGGAACUCGUGAGUUCAUGACCAGCUGAACAUAUUAAUAGUAGUGAUGAUGAU
rnacentral:lncRNA from 1 species